rnacentral:rRNA from 1 species
GUGCCAGCAGCCGCGGCGGCUGACACGAAAGGUGCAAGCGUUGUUCGGAUUUACUGGGCGUAAAGAGAUCGUAGGUGGUUUGUUAAGUCGGGUGUGAAAUCCCGGGGCUCAACCCCGGAACUGCAUUCGAUACUGGCAGGCUAGAGUUCGGGAGGGGGAAGCGGAAUUCCGUGUGUAGCAGUGAAAUGCGUAGAUAUACGGAGGAACACCUGAGGCGAAGGCGGCUUCCUGGACCGAUACUGACACUGAGGAUCGAAAGCGUGGGUAGCAAACAGGAUUAGAUACCCUGGUAGUCCACGCCCUAAACGAUGUCUACUAGCCGUAGCGGGUAUCGACCCCUGCUGUGGCGCAGCUAACGCGAUAAGUAGACCGCCUGGGGAGUACGGUCGCAAGAUUAAAACUCAAAGGAAUUGACGG